AACCUCUUGUCAUACCCUUGCAGACCAGCAGGCAUCCUGCCCCUGGGGAAUGGCAGGGUCUGCACGGCCGCUGCUGACCCAGCGAUGUGUGCAGCCCUGCUGCCACCAGCACCUGCACCCCGCUGCCUGCUGUCCCCCACAGAGCCAGAAUCAGGGACACCUUCCGGGGGCAGUCAGGAGAUCAAAUGCAUGAAGCUCUGCUGCUCCAGCUGAGGGGAGAGCUGGCAGCAGCCUGUGCUUGACGUCCUCUCACUUGGACAUGGAGCUGGGGCAAUGCACCCUGUGCCAGCCCUAACCUGGCUUCUGCUGGCGUCUGGCAGCAGGAAAAGCACCCUGAAAGUGCCAGACAUCAGCGUGGCACCCCAGGCAUGUCGGAAUACAGGUGUGUAGGUGAUGUGACUGAUCUCCAGAGGUUUUGGAGAAGGAUGAGCAAUGGCUGAUGGACUGUAAUCAUCUGCAGGGCUUUCUGCAGAGAAACACCAGAAAAGAAGGCAUUUUAUAGUCUACUGAGAUACAAGGAUACUGCAAAUGGGGACCAGAACUUACUUUCUGAGGUUGUAGUUGACCCACAACGAUUUUGACUCAGGUUAAUGGAAAAUUAGAUUUAAAUAUAAUGAAGUCAAAAUGCAAAACGAUACACUAGA